UGCCAGCAGCCGCGGUAAUACGGAGGGUGCAAGCGUUAUCCGGAAUUACUGGGUUUAAAGGGUGCGUAGGCGGUUAUAUAAGUCAGUGGUGAAAAGUCUGGGCUCAACCGAGGCCUUGCCAUUGAAACUGUAUAACUUGAAAUAAGUUGAGGUGGGCGGAAUGUGACAUGUAGCGGUGAAAUGCAUAGAUAUGUCAUAGAACACCAAUUGCGAAGGCAGCUCACUAGACUUCAUUUGACGCUGAGGCACGAAAGCGUGGGUAGCGAACAGGAUUAGAUA
rnacentral:rRNA from 1 species